CCUACGGGGAGCAGCAGUGGGGAAUAUUGCACAAUGGGGGAAACCCUGAUGCAGCGACGCCGCGUGAGUGAAGAAGUAUUUCGGUAUGUAAAGCUCUAUCAGCAGGGAAGAAAUAGAGUCCAUCGGACUAUGGACGGUACCAGACUAAGAAGCCACGGCUAACUACGUGCCAGCAGCCGCAGCAAUACGUAGGGUGCAAGAGUUAUCCGGAUUUACUGGGUGUAAAGGGAGUGUAGACGGAAGAGCAGGUCUGGAGUGAAAUGCCGUGGGUUAACCAUGGGACUGCUUUGGAAACUGUGCGGCUGGAGUGCAGGAGAGGUAAGCGGAAUUCCUAGUGUAGCGGUGAAAUGCGUAGAUAUUAGGAGGAACACCAGUGGCGAAGGCGGCUUACUGGACUGUAACUGACGUUGAGGCUCGAAAGCGUGGGGAGCAAACAGGAUUAGAUACCCGAGUAGUC
rnacentral:rRNA from 1 species